GGGGAUGAAUUGAAUCGACGAGGUUGCACCUUAAAAUCUGCAAGCCGAAGUGAUUAUCUUCGUAAAAAGAAUCAAAAAACAACUGUCAGUAAAACUUCUGACACUCUGGAAGAUCUAGUCGCACGCGGUGAGGAACUCCUUGCUAAAGUACGAUUAGCCAGAGAAGCACAAGCUAAUUACGCAUUCGCGUAAAAAGCCAAAUGCCAUCGAUAGAAUCUUUUUCUUAGGUGAAGACCUAUCGGUGUAAACAAAGCCUAAGUGCUCCCGCCUAUGUGACUAAUCGGCGGGAAAAGACUAAGUCUCACCUUUUGUGUUGAUUGUUUGUUGGGAUACGCAAGAGGGACACUAUUACAACAAACUACGCUUGUAGACGAUUUUAAUCUGUUUCUUCGGACUCCGGGUCACUCCCGGACAUCUCCACAG
rnacentral:tmRNA from 1 species